AGAGUUUGAUCCUGGCUCAGGACGAACGCUGGCGGCGCGCUUAACACAUGCAAGUCGAGCGAGAACCAGGGCUUCGGCCCUGGGGAAAGCGGCGAACGGGUGAGUAACACGUGGGCAAUCUGCCCUUCACUCUGGGACAAGCCCUGGAAACGGGGUCUAAUACCGGAUAACACUCCUGCCUGCAUGGGCGGGGGUUAAAAGCUCCGGCGGUGAAGGAUGAGCCCGCGGCCUAUCAGCUUGUUGGUGAGGUAGUGGCUCACCAAGGCGACGACGGGUAGCCGGCCUGAGAGGGCGACCGGCCACACUGGGACUGAGACACGGCCCAGACUCCUACGGGAGGCAGCAGUGGGGAAUAUUGCACAAUGGGCGAAAGCCUGAUGCAGCGACGCCGCGUGAGGGAUGACGGCCUUCGGGUUGUAAACCUCUUUCAGCAGGGAAGAAGCGAAAGUGACGGUACCUGCAGAAGAAGCGCCGGCUAACUACGUGCCAGCAGCCGCGGUAAUACGUAGGGCGCAAGCGUUGUCCGGAAUUAUUGGGCGUAAAGAGCUCGUAGGCGGCUUGUCACGUCGGGUGUGAAAGCCCGGGGCUUAACCCCGGGUCUGCAUUCGAUACGGGCUAGCUAGAGUGUGGUAGGGGAGAUCGGAAUUCCUGGUGUAGCGGUGAAAUGCGCAGAUAUCAGGAGGAACACCGGUGGCGAAGGCGGAUCUCUGGGCCAUUACUGACGCUGAGGAGCGAAAGCGUGGGGAGCGAACAGGAUUAGAUACCCUGGUAGUCCACGCCGUAAACGGUGGGAACUAGGUGUUGGCGACAUUCCACGUCGUCGGUGCCGCAGCUAACGCAUUAAGUUCCCCGCCUGGGGAGUACGGCCGCAAGGCUAAAACUCAAAGGAAUUGACGG
rnacentral:rRNA from 1 species